AUUGAACGCUGGCGGCAGGCCUUACACAUGCAGGUCGAGCGGAGCGGCGGACGGGUGAGUAAUGUAUAGGAAUAUGCCUGGUAGUGGGGGAUAACGACGGGAAAGGGGAGCUAAUACCGCAUACUAUUAGAUGAGCCGAGGUCGGAUUAGCUAGGUGGUGGGGUAAAGGCCUACAAAGGCGACGAUCCGUAGCUGGUCUGAGAGGAUGAUCAGUCACACUGGGACUGAGACACGGUCCAGACUCCGACGGGAGGCAGCAGUGGGGAAUAUUGGACAAUGGGCGAAAUCCUGAUCCAGCCAUGCCGCGUGUGUGAAGAAGGUCUUCGGAUUGUAAAGCACUUUCAGUUGGAAGGCGUUACCAACAGAAUAAGCACCGGCUAACUCCGUGCCAGCAGCCGCGGUAAUUC
rnacentral:rRNA from 1 species